CGUUUAUUCUGCUUUUUGUAAUUUCGCUCACUUGUUCUGUAGUAGGCUUUGAGUUGAAAUCAUCGCCAUCACUGUCGCUAUCACUAUCGGUCUCGCUGCUGUUGCUGCUGCUACCACUGCUGCUGCUACUGCUGCUGCUGGUGUCCUCUAUAACGUUCGUCCUAUUCUUCUUCUUCCGCUUCUGAUUUUUCUGCUUCUUCUUCUCACUCACCCCUGGUCUCGACUCUGCUUGAAGCUCGGCCGCUUCAGCAGCCGGUACACUGCCACCAACAAAAUGAAGAGCCAAUUCUGCUCUCCGCCUCCUUUCUAGCUUUUUAAGCCAAUCGGCAUUUAGUUUCCUGAACGACGAUAUCGAAUUUCUAUACUUAUCCUUCUCAGACGCAUCACUACCGCCACCACCACCAUUCUCCCCCGAAUCGACAUCAGCAUCAUCCGCUUUGAUAGCUUCUACGGCAGCUUCUGCAACUCUCUUCUUCGCCCCUUCACUCUUGAUGCCGGCAAGAUAUGUAGCCAAUGAGGCGUUGUAUGUCGAAGGUAUUCGAUCUACCGAUAGCGCGUGCUUAAGCAGAUGGGUUUCGCGAUUCUUCUGGAAUUUCCAUUGAGCACGGGAUUUGUGGUAGAGUGUAAGGUAUUGCAGGGUUGGGUCGAUUGGAGUGGCAUUGGAGGUUGAGUCCGGGCGAUUCUUUGCGCGCUGUUCUCGUUUCAGCUUCUUCUUCUCCGCCUUUCUUGCAACGGCUGGGCUAGGAUCGCGAGCAUCCUCGUGCUCGUUUUCAAGUUCCAAUUCGACAUUUCCAUCCCCAUCUUCCAAUUUUGUAUCCUCAGCGAAGGAAACGGAUUUUCUUUUCUUGGAUUUGGGCUUGGAGAGAAGUUUGUUAUCUUGAUUUUCCACAGAGGAUGACUCAAGGGACAAUUUCAAUUCCGGAUUUGUGGCCUUAUUUUUGGGUGUCUUGUCAUUUGUAUUCUCUUUGGUGUUUUCCCGUUUCGUUUUUUCAUUAAUCGUGACAUUCUCUACCCGGGGUUUUUUUCCAUUAGAUUCCUCGCUCUCCGACGUCAGAGGUCUCUUCUUGGUUCCCUUUGACUGAAAAGAGGUAUUCUCAAUAACAGACAAAGCGGUAUCUGUCUUAAUAACAGAGGUAGCGGCGUUCUUGAGCUGCAAUCCGAGCUUCUUCCAUGCUGGAAUUCGGGCGGCCAUUAUUGGAGAUUGAUG
rnacentral:sRNA from 1 species